rnacentral:rRNA from 1 species
GAUGAACGCUGGCGGCGUGCCUAAUACAUGCAAGUCGAGCGAACGGACGAGAAGCUUGCUUCUCUGAUGUUAGCGGCGGACGGGUGAGUAACACGUGGAUAACCUACCUAUAAGACUGGGAUAACUUCGGGAAACCGGAGCUAAUACCGGAUAAUAUUUUGAACCGCAUGGUUCAAAAGUGAAAGACGGUCUUGCUGUCACUUAUAGAUGGAUCCGCGCUGCAUUAGCUGGUUGGUAAGGUAACGGCUUACCAAGGCAACGAUGCAUAGCCGACCUGUGAGGGGGAUAGGCCACACUGGAACUGAGACACGGUCCAGGCUCCUACGGGAGGCAGCAGUAGGGAAUCUUCCGCAAUGGGCGGAAGCCUGACGGAGCGACGCCGCGUGAGUGAUGAAGGUCUUCGGAUCGGAAAACUCUGUUAUUAGGGAAGAACAUAUGUGUAAGUAACUGUGCACAUCUUGACGGUACCUAAUCAGAAAGCCCCGGCUAGCUACGUG